CUUAAUGUUGGAACAGUGAAACAUUGCACGUUCGAACUGUAAGAUUGAUGAGUUAAUUAGAAGAGAAAGUAAAGUGAAACAGUGAGUUCACAGGGUUAUGGGACAGGUGCCUUCUGUCAGUAUUCUACUAAUGAAUAGUCACCUUGCAGAAGGGAAACUGGGCUUUGGGGUAAAAAUGUGAGCUUGAAAGUCUUUCCAAGCGUGAACUGUGUUCAUUUGUAAAGCAGCAGUCACUGAAUGAAAGGGUAGAAAGUGACUUGGUCAUUGUGACUUGAUUAAAUAGAACGUUCUACAGUCGUUGGUUGUAUCUGUUGAAAGCUAAAAGUCUGGAUCAUGUGAGGAGGAGACGUUUGGGAAAUGGUUUUCCCUUCUGCUAGAGAUGCUCUGUUGUAUAAACCCUGGUAGGUUUCCAGUGCUUGCUCAUUAAACGUGUAGAAUAAGUGAAAACUGAAGCUUGGGUUAAAUGUUUGAACCAGAGAUCAGUCACCGUUCCCUAGUUUCUGAAGCUUACUGGGUAUUCCAAUAGAGAACUUCUAGAAUUUUCUGGCCUAGAAUCCUAGGAUUCCUGGAUAUAGGAGGAACUUGAUUAGGGACCUAGGCAAGAACUGAGAGGUAGCAGAGUCCAUGACUCACUUGAAUUAGGGAACUCAAGAGUAUUGCCAAGUUCACCAAACUAGGCCUUUUCUAAAACAUGUACUAAGCUAAGAGAGAACAGGGCUGUCUGUGCUGAUAAAAUCAGAAAUGUCUGUGUGCUUCAUUUCUCUCAGUCUGUUUUACCUGUCCCCUUUUGAUUCCAGGAAGAUUUCCUUAGCAAUAGAUAACAGACUCCUUCAAAAGAAAAAGAAAAAAA
rnacentral:lncRNA from 1 species